rnacentral:rRNA from 1 species
UACGAAGGGGGCUAGCGUUAUCCGGAUUCACUGGGUUUAAAGGGUGCGUAGGUGGGUUGGUAAGUCAGUGGUGAAAUCUCCGAGCUUAACUUGGAAACUGCCAUUGAUACUAUCAGUCUUGAAUAUUGUGGAGGUCAGCGGAAUAUGUCAUGUAGCGGUGAAAUGCUUAGAUAUACAUAGAACACCAAUUGCGAAGGCAGCUGGCUACACAUAUAUUGACACUGAGGCACGAAAGCGUGGGGGAUCAAACAGG